AGCUUGGUGUAGUGGUUUGAGUGUCGGACUAUAACUCUGGAGGCCAGGGUUCAAAUUCGUGCUUGGCCA